GAGCUUAUCGAAGAAUUAAAGUAGUUGGGAGAGAAACAUGGUCUUCAGGGGCUAGGUGGUUGUACAAUGGCUACUGAUUUGGGAACAGAGUGUGCAAGAAACGUAUUGCAAUGCACCGCUGUCGUACCGAACCGGAUGUGAAGAACUUCCAGCGGCGUUUUUUUAAUAAAGAUAUCGGAGUUCGAUUUUGUAGAAGUUUCAUCUCCGCAGAUAAGGAACAGGGGGGUUCGGUCUGCGUCGUUCGAACCCGGUCACUUUCCCGCUUAAAGAGCAUCAAAGGCUCGUUUCGUCAUCAGGUGACGUCACAAUCUGAUCUGCCGAGUCUUCUAUGCUUUUCGGCGAUGCAUCCUACUCGCACAGCUGUUUUCUAGCGCUUGGUUUUGGUGAUUCCCGCUCUUUUCAUUGCCGGUGCUAUGAGAGCAAACACCUCGUCAUUGGUAGCUACACUACUUUGCCUGGAACUGCAAGCCAUACAAUAUUAACUUGAACGGUGAAUAAAAGGUCUUUCGUCCGAUGGGAGUUAUCUGGAAAUUGACUGAUUCGCAGGCCGCGUGGAAGGUAA